rnacentral:rRNA from 1 species
AGGGCUUUGAUCCUGGCUCAGAACGAACGCUGGCGGCAGGCUUAACACAUGCAAGUCGAGCGCACCUUUCGGGGUGAGCGGCGGACGGGUGAGUAACGCGUGGGAACGUGCCCUUUCCUACGGAAUAGCCUCGGGAAACUGAGAGUAAUACCGUAUACGCCCUUUUGGGGAAAGAUUUAUCGGGGAAGGAUCGGCCCGCGUUGGAUUAGGUAGUUGGUGGGGUAAUGGCCUACCAAGCCUACGAUCCAUAGCUGGUUUGAGAGGAUGAUCAGCCACACUGGGACUGAGACACGGCCCAGACUCCUACGGGAGGCAGCAGUGGGGAAUCUUGGACAAUGGGGGCAACCCUGAUCCAGCCAUGCCGCGUGAGUGAAGAAGGCCUUAGGGUCGUAAAGCUCUUUCGCCGGGGAAGAUAAUGACGGUACCCGGUAAAGAAACCCCGGCUACAUCCGUGC